rnacentral:rRNA from 1 species
UGGGGAAUAUUGCACAAUGGGCGCAAGCCUGAUGCAGCCAUGCCGCGUGUAUGAAGAAGGCCUUCGGGUUGUAAAGUACUUUCAGCGGGGAGGAAGGGAGUAAAGUUAAUACCUUUGCUCAUUGACGUUACCCGCAGAAGAAGCACCGGCUAACUCCGUGCCAGCAGCCGCGGUAAUACGGAGGGUGCAAGCGUUGUCCGGAUUUAUUGGGCGUAAAGCGAGCGCAGGCGGUUUCUUAAGUCUGAUGUGAAAGCCCCCGGCUCAACCGGGGAGGGUCAUUGGAAACUGGGAGACUUGAGUGCAGAAGAGGAGAGUGGAAUUCCAUGUGUGGAGGUGAAAUGCGUAGAUAUAUGGAGGAACACCAGUGGCGAAGGCGGCUCUCUGGUCUGUAACUGACGCUGAGGCUCGAAAGCGUGGGGAGCAAACAGG